rfam:Stegodyphus mimosarum contig3214, whole genome shotgun sequence.
CAAAAGGCCCUUUUCAGGGCCACAAAUUUUAAAAAAGAUAUGCCUU